UACGAAGGGGGCUAGCGUUGCUCGGAAUUACUGGGCGUAAAGCGCACGUAGGCGGCUUUCUAAGUCGGGGGUGAAAUCCUGGAGCUCAACUCCAGAACUGCCUUCGAUACUGGAGAGCUCGAGUCCGGGAGAGGUGAGUGGAACUGCGAGUGUAGAGGUGAAAUUCGUAGAUAUUCGCAAGAACACCAGUGGCGAAGGCGGGCUACUGGGCCGAUACUGACGCUGAUGCGCGAAAGCCAGGGGAGCGAACGGG
rnacentral:rRNA from 1 species